rnacentral:pre_miRNA from 1 species
AACACAACAUCCGGACAAGCACGUGCGCGUUUCAUGUUCUUGCCCCGAAGUUGUCUCCG